UUUUAGCAGAGUGGACAAAGGUCAGGCUCUGCAGUUAGAUAAAGAUGUCACUGUCUAGCUGGGUGACUUUGAGAACAUACCUAACCUCUCUGGGCCAGGAAUUCCAGCUCCUGUUGCAGUGCCUGGUGCGUGGUCCGUGCUGAAAAUGGGGGCAGGUUGACUUCACUGAGUCCUCAGCACCCAGGGGCCUUCUCGGUAUGCACGUCGUCUUCUGGGUUUGGGCUCACCCCACUCGGCAAAGCUGGGCUGGAUCUCUCAGGCUAGCACCCCACCCAGGACCCUAUUGUCUCUCUGGCCCCAGGGAGGAGGGCAGGAUCCAGGCCCGGUCUACAGGGGCUGCAGUCUUUGGAGCCUGUUAUAGAUUGAACUGUGUCCCCCAAAUAGAUAUAUUGAAGUUGUAACCCCUGUACUAAAGUGCCUUGGUUGCACAAGGGUUAAACAAAUGGCUGCUAAGCAAAACGUUGGCAGUUCAAACACUGCCAGUGAUUCUGUGGGAGAAAGACCUAGUGAUCUGGUUCCAUAAAGAUUACAUCCAAGAAAACUCUAUGGGGCAGUUCCGCUCUGUCACACGGGGCAACCAUGUGUUGGAACAACCUCUGUAACUGUGAAGGGGGAACAGACACAAAUCAGAAUCACACGGGGGCGGGGGGGGGACACACCAUGUAAAGAUACACGUACACACAGCGAAGGACUACCAAUGACUGCUGGCAGAAACCAGAAGCUAGGAAAGAGGUGUGGAACCUUCCUCUUUCAGAAUCCUCAGAAGGAACCAACACAGGCGAUACCCUGAUUUGGACUUCUAGCCUCCAGAACGGUGAGACAAUACAUGUCUGUUCUUAAACGCCACCCACUUGUGGUGUUUUCUUAUGUCAGCCCCAGGAAACUAAGACAGCCCCUCUUCCUUUUUGCCCUUUUCCUGCCUCCUGCGGUCCCUGCCUUGGCCCCCAGGUGCCGAGGGCCCCUCUGAGCCUCCUCAUCACAGUCUGGGGGUGACUCUCACUCCUCCUCCCCUGCCCCAGGCCCCACCUGACCUCCGCUCCCUAGACCUGGGUAUUGGGAAGGCCCUAAUCUCCACUGAGAACAGUCUAGCUCAAGGAAAGGAUUUAGCCUCAGGAGACCUUCCAGAGAUAAUGCCCAUCUCAGGGCACACCCCCUCUUCAGGACUAUUCCAGGACUAUUUCCAGGUCUAUCAUUCAUUUAACAAUUGUUUGCUGAAGGCCUACUGUGUGCCAGAUGCUGUUCUGGGUGCUAGAGAGUCAGCACUAAGUAGGCAAAGAUCUCUGCCCCAAGCUCCAGUUCCCACAUCACAUGCUGCUUUUGUGGCCUUGGCAUCACGUGUCUCCCAUGUCUCCCCAGAGAGCUGUAAUCACCCCGCAAGCUCAGACAUGACUUCCUUCUUUGCGCCACCACGAGACUUUGAAACAUCGCAGUCAUGUCUCCUUCUCCCACAGAGCGGUCCUCCUGUGGGCUGUGAGGAUCUCAAGCAGGGAACAGAGCCUGAUGUGAGCCCAUUGUUUUUGGACUCAGCAGUUGACUUUUUUUUUCAUUUUAUUUUGUUGUUGUUGAGAAUAUACACAGCAAAACAUACCCCAACCGUUUCUACAUGUACAAUUCAGUGACACUGAUUACAUUCUUGGAGUUGUGCAACCAUUCUCGCCCUCCUUUUCCAAGUUGUUCCUCCCCCAUUAACAUAAACUCACUGCCCCCUAAGGUUCCUCUUCUCUAACAUUUUAGACUUUCAGCAAGGACUUUGAAUAGUUCUAGUGCAUUCAGGUACCACUGCCCCCUGGUGUAGUUCUUUCUUUUGAUCUAACUGUAACUUGGGACCUCUCUUUUAAUGUAUUUCUCGUAAAUACAUAAUAGUUAAAUAACUUGCGUCUUUAGCUUUAAUAAAAUUGUACUGUUUUAGGAAAUAAAUUGACUGAAACUCAACUAACCAUGCAUGGGGAGUGUCUGUCACCCAAAGUAUGAUGAAUUUGUUUAUGAAAUGUUUGUUUUUGAAAUAUUGGUUUGAGCACCUGCCCCAUACCAGAUCUAGAGAGGGGGAGGGGGUCCAUGGAAACCCUCUGUCUAAAGACGCCCAUAGUCUAGCAACAGAUCCAGACAGGUGAGCAAAAAAUUAGAAUUCGGUAUUACAAGUGCUGGAUAGAAUGACGGACAGGCACUAUAGAAGCCCAUGGGGAGCUCCUUGGAGCACUAAACCCCAAGCCAAACCCGUUACCGUGGAGUCAAUUUCUACUCAGCGACCCUUGGGGCACUAGGGUCAAAGAAGGUUUUGUAGAGCAGGUGACAUAAGACUGAGUCUUGAAGGAGUAGUAGGGUUAUUUUUUCAGGUAGCAAUGAGAGUGGGUGAGCCAGGCAGAGGGACCAGCAUGUGCAACAUCAUGGAAAUGGGGAAAUCCCUGUGUGGAGGAGUGACAAAAUGUUAGAUGUGCUGGUGGCAGGAUAUAUAUCAGGGCCUGUACAUUGCCCACAGAAAGGUAUGUCUGGGCUGGAAAUUGGCACCAGGUAGAGGGCUAACCGAAAGUUUGGCAGUUCAGGUCCACCCAGGGGCACCUUGGAAGAAAGGGCUGGUCAUCUACUUCGAAAAACCAGCCACUGAAAACCCACAGUUCUACUCUGAUACACAUGGGGUCACCAGGAGUCAGAGUCAAUUCAAUGGCAACUGGUUUGUUUGGGGUUUUGUUUUGUUUUUUUCAGGAUUGUGAAUGUCAGGGAGACUAGGGACUCCCUGCCACAUCAGGGUAUCCAAUGCUGGCCCUGGAUCUGCCCCCCUGAGGUAUCAGCUCCAUUCUGAAUGUUCUGACUCAGCCCACCUUCAUCUUCCCAAGGAAACUGGUUUCAUUAUGGAGAGAUUCUCCUCUUUAAGGAUUUUAAAAAAUUAGAUGAGGCGGGAAUUCUUAUAAGAACUCUUUGUUUAUUAAGGUUCUUGAUCCGUUGUUACAUAACUAUCUCGUCUGUCACUUUUCUUCACAGUUUGACCUUUAUCUGUUAAUUCAGCUUAUUUCGUUUUGAUGGACCCUGUUGCUGUUGAGUCGAUUCUGACUCAUAGCAACCCUAGAGGACAGAGUAGAACUGCCCCAUAGAGUUUCCAAGGAGCACCUGGUGGAUUCGAACUGCCCACCUUUUGGUUAGCAGCCGUAGCUCUUAACCACUGUGCCACGAGGGUUUCCAUUUUGAUGGAAAGAAGCCUUAUAUUUUUAUGUUGUCAAAUCUAUCAAUCUUUUCAUUCGACAUCGUCUUAGAAAGUUGUUUCCUGUCCUAAAUUUGUACAAGUAUUCAAGCUCUUUUAUGGUUUAACUUUUAACAUUUAAAUCUUUAAACCAUCUGCAGUUUAUUUUGGUGUAAGGUAGGAAUCUAACUUUAUUUUUUCCGAAUUGUUAGCCAGUUGUCCAAUCCUAUUUAUUGAGUCAUCCAUCAUUUCUCCACUGGUUUGUUUACUUGCUUCAAAUUUUCAUUCCCCUCUCCUCGAUUUUUAAAAUCAUACUUGCUGUUUAGAAAAAGGAGGAGGAGGAAAAGAAAAGGGAAAGGAGAAGGAGAGAGGAAAAGGAAGAGGAGAAGUAGUAGUUGUUGUCGUUCAAAUGUUAUGAAAAUACAUGGCUUUGAAAAUUGAAAGCUCCCCUGGGCCCAUCUCCCAGAGAUAACAACCAUUAACAAACAGUCUGUUACAUGUCCUUUUAUGAGUGUUAUAACACUUACUAGGUUUUUCUUAAAUACAGAGGUGUACAAAGACAAAAUCCAAAAUGGAUCAAAAUCUCCAGAUAACAUAUCCUGGCAUUAAGAAAAAGUAGCACAUAUAUAAGGUUGGAAAAAUCAAACGAUCCUGAAAAAUACAAAAUGAAAAACAUCUCUCUCCCUCACUACUCUCCUGUGCCAAGCCCCUCUUCCCCAAAGCUGCAGCCACCUAAGAAGAAAGCUUGAGGAACUCAGUUGCUGUCUUCCCACACCUGAAGGGCCAUCAUGGAAGAGGGAUGGACAUGCUCAGCAUGGAUGCAGAGAGCAGAACUUCGGCCAGUUAGGGGUCACCCAGAGGCCUCCUUUGACUUGGCAAACAGCAAAUGGAAGACUGUUCUAUCUCUUGGAGCCACAGGGCCAUGGAACAAGCCAUCGGGGGAAGUGGUGAGCUUCCCACGAUUGGCUCUUUUCCAGUGUUCCAGGGAAAGGGCAACCAGUGCUACCGAGGGGCUUCCCAGGUUGGUGGAGGGAGUUGGGGGUGCUGGGUUAUGAGGCCCCUGGUCCUUCCACUCUGACCAAAAGGGGGAGACCCAAGCCUUUCCAAUAACCCAUGUGCCACCCAUUACAUUUCAUUCUUCACAGUGACCCUUAUAGGUGGAACGGUGGUUAUCCCAUUUUGUAUUCCAGGACAGUGAGCCUCAAUAAGGCCAAGUGACUUUAACCAAGAUCACCCAGCUAGGACCGGUGCCGCUGGGAUUCCAAAGCACACUCCCCAAGCUGCCUCCCCGAGCUGACAAACAGGAGGCUAGCCACUCUCCCUGCCUCCAGUUGAAGGGACAGCUGCUGGGCAGGCAAGUGGCCCAGCGGGCAGUGGGAAGGCACCUCCAGCUCCUCUCCCAUCCCUGGUUCCGCACAAAGGGCCACCUGAACCAGCAACUACAUCAUCCUGAGACCAGAAGAACUAGAUGGUACCCGGCUACAACCGAUGAUUGCCCUGACAGGGAACACAACAGAGAACCCCUGAGGGAGCAGGAGAGCAGUGGGAUGCAGACCCCAAAUUCUCAUAAGACCAGACUUAACCAUCUGACUGAGACUGGAAGGACCCCGGUGGUCAUGGCCCCCAGACCUUCUGUUGCCCCAGGACAGGAACCAUUCCCGAAGCCAACUCUUCAGACAUGGAUUGGACUGGACAAUGGGUUGGAGAGGGAUGCUGGUGAGAAGUGAGCUUCUUGGAUCAGGUGGACACUUGAGACUAUGUUGACAUCUCCUGCCUGGGGGGGAGAGGAGAGGGUGGAGGGGAUUAGAAGCUGGCGAAAAGGACAUGAAAAGAGAGAGUGGAAGGAGAUAGCGGGCUGUCUCAUUAGGGGGAGAAUAAUUGGGAGUGUGUAGCAAGGUGUAUAUGGGUUUUUGUGUGAGAGACUGACUUGAUUUGUAAACUUUGACUUAAAGCACAAUAAAAAUUGUUUAAGAAAGAAAUAUUCGUCUCUGGUUUUCUUUUAGGUGAAAUGGACAUGCAAUGAAAUGUACAAAUCUUAAGUACUAUUCCAGUGAGCUUGAGAAAUGCAAAUUCCUGAGUAACUUGAACCGCUCUCUAUCACUAUAUAGAAUAUACCCUGAUAUUUCACCAUGCCCCUUCCCAGUUAGUGCUCCCCCCCACUUCCUCACAGGCAACCAAUAUUCUGAUUAUUUCCACCAUAGAUUCAGUUUGCCUUUUCUAAAGUUUCAUGUAAAUGAAAUCAUAUGCAAUGCACUCUUCUGCAUCUGGCUUCUUUUUGUCCAGGAGAAGGCUUUUGAGAUUCGUCUGUGUUGCUACAUGAAUUAGUAACUCGUUCCUUUUUAUUGCUGAGUAAUAUUCCAUUAUAUGGAUAUUCCACAGUUUGUUUAUUCAGGAUAAUUUAUUGUUUAAUGUCAAAGGAAUCAUUUCAUAAAAUUUCUCUUCAAUGUAUUUCCUUCAUGUCGUCUCAACAACAGUUCUGACAUUCCACAGCCAUCCCUACUCAGGAGGGAGCUUACCAACUAUAUGCCAAUGUCCAGUCAUAUUGAAAUGUAUGAAAUAUAUUAUACCUCGAGAAAUGGAAAGCCCUUAGAAAUGAAAUUAAAUUUGUAGCACAUCUCUUUUAUGUCAGCAAAUACAGAUGAAUCCAUGAUGUCAGAGGGGCCUCAGCUCUUCAUCUGUUUGGUUACAAAUAACAAUUAUUACACUGGCUUUGGAGUCACGCAGCUCUGGGUUUAAGCCUUACCUGCUGUGUGAACUUGUGCAAGUCACUUAACCUCUGUAAGCCUCAUUUUCUUCACUCAAAAAAUGAGGCUAGUAAUCCCUUCCCUCGGGGUUGCUUGAAGGUUGAAUGAACUAAUGAGUUCAGAGUGUUUGCAUCUGGUGAAAAGCAAGGGCUCAGUUAGCGCUGGCUGCUGUGAUUUGUCCCACUCAUCAGCUAUCAGGGCCAGAAGCUCUCACUCCAUAGGACAGGCUAAGUGGAUUUCUAGGCAACAAAGAGGAGAAAAUGAGCUUUCUACACUGCCAUGUAUAAUCCCUGAGACCAAGAAGCAGGGUGGUGAAGACUGGGUCAACUCAACAAGCCACCAAGAUCGAUUAAGUUGAUGCUAUCAUAGCCUAAGCAAUGUUUUCAGGGUUUUAUAAAACGCAAGUUGUGGGAUCUGCAGUGCCUCGAGUCUGCACAAGUCUUGCAGCUGCAGAUGUUUGAUCAUUUCUAUUUAUUAUUUUGUUCCAUCUGGUUGAGGCAGUCAAGAAAUUUGUUUCAUUUUGUCAUGAUCAUUUCUAGGUAAGUGUAAAUUCAACUUUGAUAAUUUAGGGUCCUAUUUUCUGUAAUAAAUAUUAACUUCAUACAUUUCUUCUGAACAAAGGAGGAGAAACACAUAACCCAAAUUGCCAUCAUUUAUUUCAUUCCAGAGGUUCUUUUCUUCUGAAAGAAGUAUCUCUCAGGUUUGAAGUCCUUAAGAAUUACCUUCUGGCGUAGUUUUUCCACUCUGUCCCAAGUGGUUUGAAAUAUUCAUAAUGUCUCUCAGAUGAUAAACAUUUUUUGGUUUUUAAAGACAAAGAAAAUGUCUAUAGUUUCACUUUGAAGCACUUCAGAAAAAAAUUCCUGGGACACUUAGAUGGCAAAGAAAUUUCAAAUGAAAAAAUGAAUUCAGAUUUGGAAGCAGUGCUGGCAAUCGGCUACACUGAUCAACUGCAGGUUUUGUAGAAUCAUUUGCUACAACUUCCCGCACUCAAAUGGUGUCCAAAAGCUGCUCCAUCAAACUCACGAAAGGUGCACAACAAGGCCCAAUCCAGUGAGUUUUAAAGAAAUCACCUAGCUUCCUGCCCUCUUCGUCUUUACCCUGCUUCCAAAGUUUGGAAAAUUCUUUUAGUAAAUUCAUACUAUUGCGCCAAGAACAGAAUUGAGAGCAUUCAAGGGUUCUUUCCUUUCCUCUAAAAACUUUAUUAUUACCAAAACCAGAAGAUAUUCAGAACUCCUCAACUACUUUCAAUAUCACUUAAUUUUCUGCUCAUGCUAGAUGGAUCAUCACAGGCCUAGCAGUGUUUUAUUCAAAUCAAUUCCACUUUGCUCUUUUUUUUUUUCUUGGUUGAAAUAUUUUUAUAACCCUGCAUGAGAUGAUUGGUUCCAGUCAUCUCGUCAACAUCCAUGGAACCCGAGAAGCUCUCUUCAGUUACACCUCUGCAAGGGUGGCAGCCUGAGAGUCCCUCUGCUGCCCUCUGUCCCAGCUGCAAACAUGCUACUGCAGCAGAGCGUCAGGUCAGCCAGCAGCCAGGCCUGGCAGGUUAGGCAGGGCCUCUUCACUGAGCAGGCUGGGCUAGGACUUGGUCUCCCUCAGGGCCAGACAGUAGGGACCCGCAGCAGAGCACAUUAGGUGAGGAUCACAUCACCACAGUUCUGGAGGUAGAUCUUGGCACAGGGAUGCACUUGGGGAGAGGCAGCGCCAGCUCCCUGUGUGGCCCUGGAGGACCUGUGGAAUCCCUCCCUGCCCAAGACUGCGAGAUGGAGAAACCCAGCGUUCCCUCCUGGGGCACAGCAAGGAACAGCCAGCUUGUCAGCUGGACCCAAGCCUGGUGGAUAAUGAGAGCUUCAGAAAGGCAGAGAAAAGGCAGUAAGACACUCAAGGGAGCCCAACAGCCAGGAAGGCAAAGGCUGCAGUUCACUCAGAACUGCAGGAAAAGAUGAGCCACGACCUACAUACACAACAACAGGAAAAACAAUAAGCAACUAAAAAAUCAAAUAUAGAAUAGAAUAGAAUAAAACACUUUCCUGAACUAGGAAAGGGAUGGAAGAAGAGGAUGGAGAACUGGGAAACCAAGUGGAAGAGAUAAUGCAAAAUCCGAAGCAAAACUAUGAUAAAUUAUACAUAUCUACAUACACAUGUAUGUGUGUGUGUGUGUAUAAAGAGAAUGACAAGACAAGCCACAGACUGGGAGAAAAUAUUUGCAAAACGCAUAUCUGAUAAUGGAUUUGUAUCCAAAAUACUUUUUAAAAACCUCUUAAAACUCUAACAAUAAGAACACAACCCAAUUAUAAAAUGGGCAAAAGAUCUGAACAGACAUCUUACCAAAGGAGAUAUGCAGAUGGCAAAUAAACAUAUGAAAAGAUGCUGAACAUCCUAUGUCAUUGUGUGCCAUCCAUUCCAACUCACAGCAGCCCUGUGUGACAGUAGAACUGCCCCAUACAGUGUCCCAGGCUGUAAUAAAUCUUUACAGGAGCAGAUCACAGGUCUUAGGGAACUGCAAAUUAACACAGCAAUGAGAUAUAUAAAGUCUAUAAAAAUACAACUAUUAUAAUGGCUAAAAUCCAAAACAUUGACAAUACCGAAUGCUCUGGAGGAGACAGAGCCUCAAGAACUCUCAUUCACUGCAGAUGGAAAUGGGAAAUGCUACAGCCACUUUGGAAGGCAGUCUGGAAGUUUCUUACAAAGUCAAACAUAGGCCAAAUGUACGAUUCAGCAAUCACGCUCCUAGGCAUUUAUCCAAAUAAGUUGAAAAAUGUAUGUCCGCAUAAAAACUUGUACAUGAAUGUUUAUAGUAGCUUUUUUCAUAAUUGCCAAACAUUGGAAGCAAUCAAGAUGUUCUAGAUAAAUGGAAUAAACUGGGGUACAUUCGUAUGAUGACACGUUACUCAGCAAUAAAAAGAAAUGAGCUAAUGCUAACCAACAGAUGAACGCAUAAACAAACUGUGGUACAUACAGUGGAAUACUAUGCAAUGAUAAAGAACAAUGAUGAAUCCACAAAACACUUGGAGGGCAUUAUGCUGAGUGAAAUGUCAGUCACAAAAGGACAAAUAUUGUAUGAGACGACUAUUAUAAGAACUCAAGAAAAGGUUUACACACAGA